rnacentral:rRNA from 1 species
GAUGAACGCUAGCGAUAGGCUUAACACAUGCAAGUCGAGGGGCAGCAUGGUCUUAGCUUGCUAAGACUGAUGGCGACCGGCGCACGGGUGCGUAACGCGUAUGCAACUUGCCUCACAGAGGGGGAUAACCCGUCGAAAGACGGACUAAUACCGCGUACACUCCAUCUUGGGCAUCCAAGGUAGAGGAAAUGAAAUUCGCUGUGAGAUAGGCAUGCGUCCCAUUAGCUAGUUGGUGAGGUAACGGCUCACCAAGGCGACGAUGGGUAGGGGAACUGAGAGGUUGACCCCCCACACUGGUACUGAGACACGGACCAGACUCCUACGGGCGGCAGCAGUGAGGAAUAUUGGUCAAUGGGCGAGGGCCUGAACCAGCCAAGUCGCGUGAAGGAUGACUGUCUUAUGGAUUGUAAACUUCUUUUAUACGAGAAUAACAAGAGUCACGUGUGACUCCCUGCAUGUACCGUAUGAAUAAGCAUCGGCUAACUCCGUG